rnacentral:rRNA from 1 species
CAAUAGCGUAUAUUAAAGUUGCUGCAGUUAAAACGCUCGUAGUUGGAUUUCAGGACGUCAGGCCUGCGAACCACUGGAAGUUUUCUAGUGUGUGUAAUGUCUGAGGUGAGGAAGGGUUGUUGGGGCUUUCGGGUCUCAGUGGCUGUUCCAUAUCCGAGUUACCGAUGUUUGCGCCUCGUGCGUCCUACGCUGUGCAGGUUUUGCCUUUGUUUACAGAGGUGAGAUACUGCACCAGAUACCUUGAGGAAAUUGGAGUGUUCAAGGCAAGCGAUAAUAUCGCGAUUGACCACUGAAGCAUGGAAUAUCGACCAUGACUCUUGUCACGGUUCGUUGGUUUCACGGCACGAGUAAUGAUUAAUAGGAGCGGUCGGGGCCAUUGGUAUGCUUGCGUGAGAGGUGAAAUUUUUAGACCGCAGGCAGACCAACUACUGCGAAAGCAUUUGGCAAGGACGCUUNCAUUA